GACGAACGCUGGCGGCGCGCCUAACACAUGCAAGUCGAACGAGAGAUGAGGAGCUUGCUCUUCAAAUCGAGUGGCGAACGGGUGAGUAACGCGUGAGGAACCUGCCUCAAAGAGGGGGACAACAGUUGGAAACGACUGCUAAUACCGCAUAAGCCCACAGCUCGGCAUCGAGCAGAGGGAAAAGGAGUGAUCCGCUUUGAGAUGGCCUCGCGUCCGAUUAGCUGGUUGGUGAGGUAACGGCCCACCAAGGCGACGAUCGGUAGCCGGACUGAGAGGUUGAACGGCCACAUUGGGACUGAGACACGGCCCAGACUCCUACGGGAGGCAGCAGUGGGGAAUAUUGCACAAUGGGGGAAACCCUGAUGCAGCGACGCCGCGUGGAGGAAGAAGGUCUUCGGAUUGUAAACUCCUGUUGUUGAGGAAGAUAAUGACGGUACUCAACAAGGAAGUGACGGCUAACUACGUG
rnacentral:rRNA from 1 species